UACGAAGGGGGCUAGCGUUGCUCGGAAUCACUGGGCGUAAAGGGUGCGUAGGCGGGUUUUUAAGUCAGGGGUGAAAUCCUGGAGCUCAACUCCAGAACUGCCUUUGAUACUGAAGAUCUUGAGUUCGGGAGAGGUGAGUGGAACUGCGAGUGUAGAGGUGAAAUUCGUAGAUAUUCGCAAGAACACCAGUGGCGAAGGCGGCUCACUGGUCCGGUACUGACGCUGAGGUGCGAAAGCGUGGGGAGCAAACAGG
rnacentral:rRNA from 1 species